AGCCUGCCCACUGAAUUUUUUUUUAAAUGGCCGCAGUAUACUAACUGUGCAAAGGUAGCAUAAUCAUUAGUCUUUUAAUUGAAGGCUGGUAUGAAUGGUUGGACGAGAUAUUAACUGUUUCAUAAAAAUUUAUAAUAGAAUUUUAUUUUUUAGUCAAAAAGCUAAAAUUUAUUUAAAAGACGAGAAGACCCUAUAAAUCUUUAUAUUUAAAUUAUUAUAAUUUUCAAGAUUUUUUUUAUUAUAAUAAUUGAUAAUAUUUUAUUGGGGUGAUAUUAAAAUUUAAUAAACUUUUAAUUGUUUAAAUCAUUAAUUUAUGUAUAAUUGAUCCGUUCAUAGCGAUUAAAAAAAUAAGUUACUUUAGGGAUAACAGCGUAAUUUUUUUGGAGAGUUCAUAUCGAUAAAAAAGAUUGCGACCUCGAUGUUGGAUUAAGAUAUAAUUUUAGGUGUAGCCGCUUAAAUUUUAAGUCUGUUCGACUUUUAAAUUCUUACAUGAUCUGAGUUCAAACCGGCGUAAGCCAGGUUGGUUUCUAUCUUUAAAAA
rnacentral:rRNA from 1 species